AAUUUUCCUAGCAUCUUCAUCGACAUCUUCAAACCGAUCGAAAAUGGGACUUGCAGAUGUCAGGAAAAACCAAUGCGCUAGCUGCAUGAGAAACCUUUGAAAAAGUGGAUAUUGAUACCACUGUUGCAGUGACAUAUCUUUUCAAGUUUUCGAGCUAGUGCAAAGUCAAAAAUGGCUACAACAGCUUCCAUAUUACGACGUCCAGAAUGUCUACAUGAAACAUGGUUAUUACACAUUUUGAAAGGCUCUCAAAAUAAAUAAUUAGCCCUUGUUUAUGUCAAAUGGGUAUACAAAUUUUUGUUACAAUUAAAGGGAAGGUGUGACAGAAAAAUGAUGUAUAGGAAUGUGUCACUUAACAAGAAUGAAUGAACUCUUUUUCCUUAUGUUAAAUGAGAAAAGUAGUACAAUAAGGGGAUAUUUUUUCUUACUUGAAUUAAAAAAAAAAUUGAGAUGUGCAUAAUGUUACAAGAAAAAGAAAGACAAGAAAUCUUUAAUUUUUUUUGUUCACCUGUCAAAAUUAAACGAUCCUAUAGCAGACCAUAGCCCGUCGACAACCAGCGUCUUAGCGUGACAAUGCUGGGAUAAGGUAAAGCAGACACGGAAGAAAUCGGAAGUAGCUAAUAUGCCACGAGCUUGACGACGCAUGUUAUGUUUAUGUGCAGCUUUCUGUCAUUGAAUAAAAGCAAGAAUGAAGAAAAAAUCAGGUUAAUCUUUUACUUGAUAAUUAUGCCCAGAAAGACGUUUUUUUCACAAUGCCCAAAAAUAUACUAGAGAGUGUUACCUGUAACUUGGAAACACAAUAUGUAGCUGCGUAAACAUCUCCCCACACGUCAGAAUUGCCUGAUAAAAUAAGAGUGAAGGGAAUAUUUUUUUGAAUUAAACGCUUUAAACUCCAAUAUAAUAAAGUGGGUGGUGAAAAAUACCCAGCUGUUGUUGAUACAGAUAGGCAAGCAUUGUUAAUAAUCCGAUGAUAUGCGGAUUGAAUACAUCGGCGUCUGGAUCUAGCAUUACUGUCAAGAAUUUGUACAAAAGAUCCUUGGGAAUCUGAUGUUGAACCGAAAUCUGUAUAUAGCGGAAUUUCUCGUUUAACACUGUCGCUUUGUUCAUUCAACGUUUGACAAAAUAAUUCGCACAUGUGAUUCACAGCAGGUCCCUGAACUUUGACAUGUAUUUCAAAGAAACGGUUAUUGCCUCCCAUGCUUGUAGGGGCAGCUUCGGCGGAAAUAUUAGCCGAACCGCAAAAACCUGCGGAGUCCACUAACGCUAGCUUUCGAUGAUCUCUAAAAGUGGGGCUUCUCCAAUCAUUAGCGAGUACAACAGGAAUAUUAUUUUCACGUAAAAGUCGUAUAGAUUUGAACGACAUAUCGAAAGAGCCUAAUUUAUCCACUAUAAGCACAACGUCGACACCUCUGUGUUUCGCUUCGAUCAAUGCGUUUACAAACGAUUGAGCAACAGGUGAAUUAUCAAACAUGUACGUUUCAAUCCAAACUCGUUCUUUACUAUGCCUUAUACUUUCAAGCAGUUGAAAGAGAACAUUGUCCCCUACUAAAAGCUCAACGUUGUUACCAAAAGAACUACGACCGCUAUUUAAUUUAUCUAAAAGAUGAAUGUUUUCAAUCCACACAUUUUGCAGAUGGUUCCAAUCCACUUGGCCUUUCCACGUUGCUUUUUUUUGUUCUAUAUUUUUUGCCACAGCUAAUCGAAUCAUCGAUUCUUUCUUUUGUAAUAGUCGGGCAGAGUCGUUAUUAACAACAUUAGCUUUAUCACUGUAGCCCUUAGGACUGCAUUCAUUCUUCAACUGUUGACGCAACGAAUUGACAACAAGGAAGAUAGAAUUUGUGAUAUGUCAUUAACUCUUGGAGUAAACAAUACACCCCCGUUUGGUAUUUAACAUUUUUUAUAAUAAUUCAUUUAUACAACAUUUAAUUGCAAACAAGUUGAAUGGAGUUUCAUAAAUUCCAAUUUCGGCUUGAUACUUGUUUUAUAUUAACUUUUUUUUAAUCUGUAGUCACAUGGACUUGUUUUAAACAAUUUCUUUCAACUUCUGGUAGCACAUUUGUAAUAACCACAUAAUGAAAAUAGUAAGAUUUUUUUCUACUUUCUUUAGCACCCCUGUAUGAUGCUAUAUAGUUAACGAAUAAUCUAUUUUUUUUUUACUUUCAUUUCUUUUGUUUUGUUUUUAAAAUCAAAAUCAAAAUACUUUUGGCACGUGAAAACUACCUUUUAAUUCAUAUAAAUGUCAAAUUAUCAUAUUGUUCUUCUUACAUUUUUCUUAUAGUCUAAGCGUUAAAUGUAUUACAUUAUCAAGUCAUGUUAGUUAUAAAGACAUGCCUCAGUUUUUUUUUCAGCAUCAUUGAAAGUAUAUUGUAAACACUAAAUGUAAUAAAAAAAAGAAAAAGCUUUCUGUAGGUGGGGUACAACGUAUUUUGAAAAGCACUCUUAUGAGUAAAGGUUAAAAAUUAUAAAGCUUAUAGUGCUGAACUAAGAUUUGAAGUGACGCAGGUUAUGAGAAAUCAAACGUACGCGUAAUAAAGGAAAGGUCACAAUAAGGCAUUGAUCCGAAAUAAACUCUAGAAUAAAAAAAAGAAAACACAACAAUAAGAUUAACAGGUAAAAAAAAAAGAAAUACUUAGUAAAACGAAUUCAUAGGAUAAAGCGGAACCUAACUAAAAUGUUUCAAAUGAAAUCUUGUAUAGAAUCAGUUGUGUUACUUACUUGAAGAAGUUGAUGUAAGUUUUUUAUCAAGUAUGUUUGCGAUGAGAAAAUAUCUAAAAAAAACGCAAGCUAAUGGGAAAAUCAAAAUGUUAAAAUAAAAUACCAGCAUCAAUAUGUGAAGCAUGUUUAUUAGGUGUUGAUUCAAAAAGAUCUUCUUGUUGAGAUUCUUGAAAAGUAUGAAGAACGCAACGAUGAUUGGUAACCCAUUGCGUGGAUAAAUCCGUGUCUUUUAAAAAAAAAAUGUUUACGUUGAAACGUUCAAUACAUCGUUAAGAUGAUUAUUUUUAUCGUCAUCAUCGCAUGGUAGCAGUUUAAAUGUGAGAUGAUCCGCACCAAGAUGUCGCAUUUGUUCCACAACAGAACGAAUACUUUUGAAAUUCUCUGAAAUUACUCCAGUGAGUGAAUUCGGUGGAGGAACAAGAGUUUCAGCAUAACGGCUUGAAAAAACUGGAAUGAUAAAUACCUGGAAUGUUCAUCUCUGAAGGUUUCACGGACAAUAUAAAACCUUGAGCAUCUAUUGAGAUUCCUAUGAUAUUGUCAUGUCGGCUUUCAAUUAAACAUUCCGAAAACAAUUCCUUCUAAAGUCAAGGAUAUUUUGAAACUAUGGUUAUUGUACCAUUGUUUUUCAAAAAUCAGUACACUAAGUGAGAAAUUAUUUAAAAAGGUUAUCAAUGUCAUAGGUUUUCUUGGUAUUUGUUCAAUUGAUCAAUACACUAUAUUUAUGCAAAAGAUUUAGGUGUUGAAAACAUGAUAAACUAAAAUCCCUUCUACCUAAAUAACAAAAAUGAUAGCUUACUGUAUCAAAAUACGCAUAGGCAUGAACUCGUUCAAAACAUAAAGGAUUACAAUAACGUAUAAGGAUAUAUGACGGACAAAGCUUUAUUUCUAAGUUCCUUGAAGAAUCAUGAAUUUCUUUUGUUGCAUGAAUAGUUUUAGUAAUACGAGACAACGCAUUGAUAACAUCUGGUAGAUAAAACAGCAUGUAAAUGAAAAAUAAAAAAUUUUUCAAGAGACGACUUCCUCAA